rnacentral:piRNA from 1 species
UCCUUAUAGCCUUUUAGAGUUUCAUGCUU